CGAGUGUGAAUCAACUGAUGACAAGAUGCAACCAGAAGGGAACAGGAAGUGCUCAACAGGAAGUGACAACACGGCUUACCACCCAGUCUUCUCACACAGUACUUGUGGCUGAAAUUCUCAUUGCCACGCACGGCCCAUCUGCGGCCCAGCAGAAGCUUCGGCAGCUGCGAGCCGGGCCUCCCCCAGCGGCCUCCUAAUGGAUUAUCCUCACAGGACUAUGAAACCCAGUGGCUCCAGGAAUCUGGUACUUGGGCUCACCAUCAGGUUCUGCAGCUGGCGCACCCCCCUCCCCCCACCCCAAGGGGCUGACAUGAAGCUCUCUCAAACUGCAGCUUCUGCUUCCAGAGACUCACAGGCCUGGGCCAUUCAGUGGCUCGUCAGAGCGCACUAUCUGAUAUAGAGAACAUGCAGCUCCUGCCGCUCAUACCGUUAUCCGACGCUGCAGAUAAUUGGGGUGCUCUGUAAUGCGCCGGCAUGACAUCCGCAACCACACCGCAUUCGUUUGGAGUGGCAGGGGUGUGCACUGUAAGUGGGCCAGUGCAAUAAGUAGGACCUGAUCAUUUUGCCUUCCCAAAGGGCGUGUCACUUGUAUUCAUACCAGCAGGAGCUGCCAUAAUUAACACUAGUA